UUGGAGGGCAAGUCUGGUGCCAGCAGCCGCGGUAAUUCCAGCUCCAAUAGCGUAUAUUAAAGUUGUUGCAGUUAAAAAGCUCGUAGUUGAACUUCGGGGUUUACCCAUUGGUCAGGCUUAAUUGUCUGCACUGGUGAGACGAAUCUCUACCUUCUGAGGAACUUUUAUGCCAUUUAUUUGGUGUGUUGGGAAAUCAGGACUGUUACUUUGAAAAAAUUAGAGUGUUUAAAGCAGGCUAACGUCUGAAUACAUUAGCAUGGAAUAAUGAAAUAGGACGGACUGAUUCUAUUUCGUUGGUUUCUAGGAUCACCGUAAUGAUUAAUAGGGAUAGUUGGGGGCAUUAGUAUUCAAUUGUCAGAGGUGAAAUUCUUGGAUUUAUUGAAGACUAACUACUGCGAAAGCAUUUGCCAAGGAUGUUUACAUUAAUCAAGAACGAAAGUUAGGGGAUCGAAGACGAUCAGAUACCGUCGUAGUCUUAACCAUAAACUAUGCCGACUAGGGAUCGGACGAAGUUAAUUUUAUAAUGACGCGUUCGGCGCCUUACGGGAAAC
rnacentral:rRNA from 1 species